rnacentral:rRNA from 1 species
CCCUUAGAUGUCCUGGGCCGCACGCGCGCUACACUGAGUGUCUGAGAUACGAGUCUGCCUGGUCCGGCAAGGUCUAGGUAAUCGCUAAAAGACACAUCAUGCUUGGGAUAGAUUAUUGCAAAUAUUAAUCUUGAACGAGGAAUUCCUAGUAAGCGCAAGUCAACAGCUUGCGUUGAUUACGUCCUUGCCCUUUGUACACACCGCCCGUCGCUACUACUGAUUGGAUGUUUAAGCGAGGUUCUCGAACUGCUAGCGACUUAGCUUCGGUGAGGUCGCAGUGUGGGAAGUGAACCUAGCUUUGGUGUCUAGAGGAAGUAAAAGUCGUAACA